GUGUUUGCUUUGGCAACACAUAUGCUAAAACUGGAACAAUACAGAGACAUUUAGCAUGGCCCCUGCACAAGGAUGACACACAAAUUUGUGAGGCUUUCCAUACUUUU